rnacentral:tRNA from 1 species
GUCCUCGUGGCCGAGAGGCGAGGCAGAGGGCUGCAAACCCUCUCACACUGGUUCAAAUCCAGUCGGGGACUCCA